UGGGGAAUUUUGGACAAUGGGCGAAAGCCUGAUCCAGCAAUGCCGCGUGUGUGAAGAAGGCCUUCGGGUUGUAAAGCACUUUUGUCCGGAAAGAAAUCCUUGGCUCUAAUACAGUCGGGGGAUGACGGUACCGGAAGAAUAAGCACCGGCUAACUACGUGCCAGCAGCCGCGGUAAUACGUAGGGUGCAAGCGUUAAUCGGAAUUACUGGGCGUAAAGCGUGCGCAGGCGGUUUGCUAAGACCGAUGUGAAAUCCCCGGGCUCAACCUGGGAACUGCAUUGGUGACUGGCAGGCUAGAGUAUGGCAGAGGGGGGUAGAAUUCCACGUGUAGCAGUGAAAUGCGUAGAGAUGUGGAGGAAUACCGAUGGCGAAGGCAGCCCCCUGGGCCAAUACUGACGCUCAUGCACGAGAGCGUGGGGAGCAAACAGGAUUAGAUACCCUGGUAGUCCACGCCCUAAACGAUGUCAACUAGUUGUUGGGGAUUCAUUUUCCUUAGUAACGUAGCUAACGCGUGAAGUUGACCGCCUGGGGAGUACGGUCGCAAGAUUAAAACUCAAAUGAAUUGACGGGGUCAUAGCUGUUUCCU
rnacentral:rRNA from 1 species